rnacentral:tRNA from 1 species
GACAUACGAUGGCCGAGUGGUUAAGGCGUUGGACUUAAGUUCCAAUGGACAUCUGUCCGCGUGGGUUUGAACCCCACUCGUGCUAAUUCA